rnacentral:rRNA from 1 species
AUUGAACGCUGGCGGCAUGCCUUACACAUGCAAGUCGAACGGCAGCACGGGGCAACCUGGUGGCGAGUGGCGAACGGGUGAGUAAUGCAUCGGAACGUACCUUUCAGUGGGGGAUAACGUAGCGAAAGUUACGCUAAUACCGCAUAUUCUGUGAGCAGGAAAGCAGGGGAUCGCAAGACCUUGCGCUGACUGAGCGGCCGAUGUCAGAUUAGCUAGUUGGUGAGGUAAAGGCUCACCAAGGCGACGAUCUGUAGCGGGUCUGAGAGGAUGAUCCGCCACACUGGAACUGAGACACGGUCCAGACUCCUACGGGAGGCAGCAGUGGGGAAUUUUGGACAAUGGGGGCAACCCUGAUCCAGCCAUGCCGCGUGAGUGAAGAAGGCCUUCGGGUUGUAAAGCUCUUUCGGCCGGGAAGAAAUCGCACGGGCUAAUACCCUGUGUGGAUGACGGUACCGGUAUAAGAAGCACCGGCUAACUACGUGCCAGCCGCCGCCGUAAGAC